AUUGAACGCUGGCGGCAGGCUUAACACAUGCAAGUCGAGCGAGCGGCGGACGGGUGAGUGAUGUCUGGGAAACUGCCUGCUGGAGGGGGAUAAAAACUGGGAACGGUAGCUCAAAACGCACACCCUCAGAUGUACCCCGAUGGGCAUAGCUAGUGGGUGGGGUAAUGGCUCACCUAGGCGAAGAGCCCGAGCGGAUCUGAGAGGAUGACCAGCCACACUGGAACUGAGACACGGUCCAGAUGCCUACGUGAGGAAGAAGUGGGGAAUAUUGCACAAUGGGCGAAAGCGUGAGGCAGCCAUGCCGCGUGGGUGAAGAAGGCCUUCGGGUUGUAAAGCACUUUCAGCGAGGAGGCGUUACUCGCAGAAGAAGCACCGGCUAACUCCGUGCCAGCAGCCGCGGUAAUAC
rnacentral:rRNA from 1 species